rnacentral:rRNA from 1 species
GACGAACGCUGGCGGCGUGCCUAAUACAUGCAAGUCGAGCGGACGGAUGGGAGCUUGCUCCCAGACCGUCAGCGGCGGACGGGUGAGUAACACGUGGGCAACCUGCCUGUAAGACUGGGAUAACUCCGGGAAACCGGGGCUAAUACCGGAUAACUCUUUCCCUCACAUGAGGGAAAGCUGAAAGAUGGCAUCUCGCUAUCACUUACAGAUGGGCCCGCGGCGCAUUGGCUAGUUGGUGAGGUAACGGCUUACCAAGGCGACGAUGCGUAGCCGACCUGAGAGGGUGAUCGGCCACACUGGGACUGAGACACGGCCCAGACUCCUACGGGAGGCAGCAGUAGGGAAUCUUCCGCAAUGGACGAAAGUCUGACGGAGCAACGCCGCGUGAGUGAUGAAGGUUUUCGGAUCGUAAAACUCUGUUGUCAGGGAAGAACAAGUACCGGAGUAACUGCCGGUACCUUGACGGUACCUGACCAGAAAGCCACGGCUAACUACGU